rnacentral:rRNA from 1 species
AUGGGCUUCAGGGAUAUGAGAGCUUUCAACCAAGCGUUGCUGGCCAAGCAAGCUUGGAGACUUCUUGACUCCCCGGACAUCCUAUGUGCGAGACUAAUGAAGGCAAAGUACUACCCUCAAGGUCAGUUGUUAGAUACAGUGUUUUCAAUCACUGGUUCUGCAGUGUGGAAAGGUAUAUUGCAUGGGUUGGAGCUAUUGAAACAAGGUGUUAUAUGGCGGGUGGGGGACAGGGAGCACAUCCGGACGUGGCGAGACCCUUGGAUCCCACGGCAUUCCUUCCGUCCGAUCACCCCGAAGGGAACCUGCCGGCUCAACCGUGUUUCAGCGUUUCUGGAUGCUAAUGGGGCAUGGAGGGCUGAUCGUCUUCGUGAAUAUUUUUGGGAGAUGGAUGUUCAACAUAUUCUCAAGAUACGCACUUCUCCAAGGCAGCGUUCCGACUUUCUUUCAUGGUAUCCAGAGAAGAGUGGAGUUUUUUCACUUAAAAGUGCAUACAAAUUAGCCACAUGCGAUCACGACACAGCCUUCUCUGGAGGGGAAUCAAGUGCAGUGUCAAAUGGCUCCUGUUCUCUUUGGAAUUGUGUGUGGAAAUCCUUGGUUCCGCAGAAGAUGAAGAUAACUGCGUGGCAAAUUAUCUCGGGAGUAUUACCCACGCAGCAGUGUAAGGUGUUGCGUCAUAUACCCACAAGCUCCACUUGUCGGCUAUGUGGGCUGGAGGAGGAAGGCAUGUUCCACGCCCUGAUCGCAUGCGAGCAUGCGAGAGAAAUCUGGCUGCAUAUGCAUGCAAGAUGGCCACUCCCACCGGAUGAUCUCCUAAUUGAUAAUGGAAGGGAAUGGCUUAUGUACCUAUUAUGAAGAUGCUCUGAUGAGGUACGGGACAUGAUUAUCAUGUUAGUAUGGCACAUU